UAAGCAAGAUGUGAAAUCGUACGGCUCAACCGUAUACACAUAUUUUGAACUGACGAGCUAGAGUAUAGAAGAGGUCACUGGAAUUUCUAGUGUAGGAGUGAAAUCCGUAGAUAUUAGAAGGAACACCGAUGGCGUAGGCAGGUGACUGGUCUAUUACUGACGCUAAGGCACGAAAGCAUGGGUAGCAAACGGGAUUAGAUACCCCGGUAGUCCAUGCUGUAAACGAUGGAUGCUA
rnacentral:rRNA from 1 species